rnacentral:rRNA from 1 species
AACGAACGCUGGCGGCAUGCCUAACACAUGCAAGUCGAACGAGACCUUCGGGUCUAGUGGCGCACGGGUGCGUAACGCGUGGGAACCUGCCCUUAGGUUCGGAAUAACUCCCCGAAAGGGGUGCUAAUACCGGAUAUUGUCUUCGGACCAACGAUUUAUCGCCUUUGGAUGGGCCCGCGUUUGAUUAGCUAGUUGGUAGGGUAAAAGCCUACCAAGGCGACGAUCCAUAGCUGGUCUGAGAGGAUGAUCAGCCACACUGGGACUGAGACACGGCCCAGACUCCUACGGGAGGCAGCAGUGGGGAAUAUUGGACAAUGGGCGAAAGCCUGAUCCAGCAAUGCCGCGUGAGUGAUGAAGGCCUUAGGGUUGUAAAGCUCUUUUACCCGGGAUGAUAAUGACAGUACCGGGAGAAUAAGCUCCGGCUAACUCCGUG